GCCCCAAUGGUGUAGCUCGGCCAAUCAUUACAGCCUUUCGAGUUGUAGACUCGGGUUCAAAUCCCGAUUGGGGCACCA
rnacentral:tRNA from 1 species